rnacentral:lncRNA from 1 species
GUUGCUCGGCGGGCGCCAUCUUUCUCGCGGCGCGGGCGGCGCCCUCCGAGGACAUCUCGAUGACCAGGGCGCCGCGAGGCCCGGGGCUAGCGGGAGCCGAGAGCAGGGUGCUGAAUUCUGGAGAUGGGACUGGGGUCGCGCGGCCUUCUCCUUCCCCACGCCCCCAGACCCAAAAGACGAGGCCGCCGGCUCGGAGCGGGAAGGGCUGGGGCCAGCUUCUUCCUCCUAACCACUUGUUUGUGAUGGAAGAAGGGGGCUGGGGGUCGAGCCUCGCGGCUGAUGGGUUCCCUCCCUGACCCCGCACCCCCACUCCUCCCAGUCGAAAUUGGAGAGACAGGGGUUUCUCUUUGUCACCCAGGCUGGCCUCAAACUCCUGGGCUCAAGCAGUCUUCCCACCUUUCCCUCCCAAAGUGCUGGGAUUACAGGCGUGAGCCACUGCAUCCUGCCGAGAAAAUCAUUUUUUAUUUAAAUAAUGUCAAAUGGAAGUAUGUAGCACCCCCCCCCCACCUUCUUUUCCCCUUUCUUUCCUCUUUGAGUCUGCUGUCAUUCCCUUUUUCAUGAGUUUUCUCUGCUCCCCAAAUAGGCUAAACAAUAACCGUAAAGUGAGAUUAGAGAAAAUAAGAAUGGAGUAGAUGAUGGAAUUCAAAAUAGCUGUCUACAUUCUUCACUGAGAAAGAUAGCUUUGAGUUAAAGGUGAGAGGAGCAAAUCUGGGGAAAAACGGGUGAAACGGCAUGAUUUAAGUAGCAUACCAGAUGCGUUUCUGCAUGGCAUGGCUCUUGCUUGAUGAAUAAUGUUCUGUAUAGUAGAAGAGGAAAAUACAGUGAGUGAAGGAGCUGGCAGAAGGUGGGCUGGGGGAGUUGGGGAAGAGUGAAAUGAGUAUGGAGAGGUGAGAGAGCUGACUGCAAAGGCAUGUGGGGUGUGGAUUUUAAAAGGAAAGCCCUGAGGUGGAAAUCACUAACAUGGUGCCUGGCUACAAGCAGAGGGAGCUCAGGACUUGACUGUGCUGGGGGUGGCCUGCCCUUUUGUAGUGCAGUUGAGGAGAGCUCAGGGGCUGUCAGAAUGCUGUGUGGGAAGGUGGAGGAUGAAAGAGGACCUGGGAGCAGCAACUUUGUUCUGGUUUGUUGUUUUCUCUUCCCUACCUCGUAUGUACUCCCACUCAGGAAAAGAUCCUGAGACCUCUCUGUACCAGAUCCUCUUAUACCCAGGUUCUCCUUAAUCCCAAUCAACUUUAAUCUAUAAAGUUACGAUUUGUUUACUUAUAAAUUUAUUUUUAAUAAAGUUGUGAAACCG